rnacentral:rRNA from 1 species
UAAUACGGAGGGUGCAAGCAUUGAUCGGAAUUACUGGGCGUAAAGGGCGCGUAGGCGGCUAAGUAAGUCAGAUGUGAAAUUCCGGGGCUCAACCCCGGAGCUGCAUUUGAAACUGCUCAGCUAGAGUACAGUUAGGGUAAACGGAAUUCCACGUGUAGCGGUGAAAUGCGUAGAUAUGUGGAAGAACACCGGUGGUGAAGACGGUUUACUGGGCUGUUUCUGACGCUGAGGCGCGGAAGCAUGGGUAGCAAACAGGAUUAGAUACCCUGGUAGUCCAUGCCGUAAACGAUGCAUACUAGGUGUAGGAGGGCUCAACCCCCUCUGUACCGGAGCUAACGCAUUAAGUAUGCCGCCUGGGGAGUACGCUCGCAAGGGUG